AGUAAAUGCAGUUUUACACUGUUUAUGUUCAGCGUUUAAUCGUUCAUCUUAUCCGAAAUUUUUUUAUGAUUAGUAUUUUUAUUGUAAUUAGAUGAUAAAAUAUGAAUAGUUCUUUGUGUUACUAAUUGUUUUUAAUUUUUUCAUAAAGUUUUCAAAUAAGACGGAUGCUCAAACGUUGGACACAGAUUUUCACGGCUGUAUUUAUU
rfam:Oryza meridionalis cultivar OR44 (W2112) chromosome 12, whole genome shotgun sequence.